AAUGAAGAAAGGUUUUGUGGACUCCGGUGUCGUAGUGCAGGGCAUGCAUGUGACACAGGAUAAAAAUAGCUCACAUGUAUAUCAUACUGUUACUUAUAUACUACCAAAGAAAACAGGGAAUCAUAAAGUUUGUGUACAAAAUGUGAAUGCUGCUGGUCAAACAGCUGAUGAAUUGUGUUAUUCAAUAGAAGUUACAGCGGAAUUACCUAAACCUGUUUCUAUU